rnacentral:rRNA from 1 species
GACGUGCUAAUCUGCGAUAAGCGUCGGUAAGGUGAUAUGAACCGUUAUAACCGGCGAUUUCCGAAUGGGGAAACCCAGUGUGAUUCGUCACACUAUCAUUAACUGAAUCCAUAGGUUAAUGAGGCGAACCGGGGGAACUGAAACAUCUAAGUACCCCGAGGAAAAGAAAUCAACCGAGAUUCCCCCAGUAGCGGCGAGCGAACGGGGAGCAGCCCAGAGCCUGAAUCAGUGUGUGUGUUAGUGGAAGCGUCUGGAAAGGCGCGCGAUACAGGGUGACAGCCCCGUACACAAAAAUGCACAUGCUGUGAGCUCGAUGAGUAGGGCGGGACACGUGGUAUCCUGUCUGAAUAUGGGGGGACCAUCCUCCAAGGCUAAAUACUCCUGACUGACCGAUAGUGAACCAGUACCGUGAGGGAAAGGCGAAAAGAACCCCGGCGAGGGGAGUGAAAAAGAACCUGAAACCGUGUACGUACAAGCAGUGGGAGCCUCUUUUAUGGGGUGACUGCGUACCUUUUGUAUAAUGGGUCAGCGACUUAUAUUCUGUAGCAAGGUUAACCGAAUAGGGGAGCCGAAGGGAAACCGAGUCUUAACUGGGCGUUAAGUUGCAGGGUAUAGACCCGAAACCCGGUGAUCUAGCCAUGGGCAGGUUGAAGGUUGGGUAACACUAACUGGAGGACCGAACCGACUAAUGUUGAAAAAUUAGCGGAUGACUUGUGGCUGGGGGUGAAAGGCCAAUCAAACCGGGAGAUAGCUGGUUCUCCCCGAAAGCUAUUUAGGUAGCGCCUCGUGAACUCAUCUCCGGGGGUAGAGCACUGUUUCGGCAAGGGGGUCAUCCCGACUUACCAACCCGAUGCAAACUGCGAAUACCGGAGAAUGUUAUCACGGGAGACACACGGCGGGUGCUAACGUCCGUCGUGAAGAGGGAAACAACCCAGACCGCCAGCUAAGGUCCCAAAGUCAUGGUUAAGUGGGAAACGAUGUGGGAAGGCCCAGACAGCCAGGAUGUUGGCUUAGAAGCAGCCAUCAUUUAAAGAAAGCGUAAUAGCUCACUGGUCGAGUCGGCCUGCGCGGAAGAUGUAACGGGGCUAAACCAUGCACCGAAGCUGCGGCAGCGACACUAUGUGUUGUUGGGUAGGGGAGCGUUCUGUAAGCCUGUGAAGGUGUGCUGUGAGGUAUGCUGGAGGUAUCAGAAGUGCGAAUGCUGACAUAAGUAACGAUAAAGCGGGUGAAAAGCCCGCUCGCCGGAAGACCAAGGGUUCCUGUCCAACGUUAAUCGGGGCAGGGUGAGUCGACCCCUAAGGCGAGGCCGAAAGGCGUAGUCGAUGGGAAACAGGUUAAUAUUCCUGUACUUGGUGUUACUGCGAAGGGGGGACGGAGAAGGCUAUGUUGGCCGGGCGACGGUUGUCCCGGUUUAAGCGUGUAGGCUGGUUUUCCAGGCAAAUCCGGAAAAUCAAGGCUGAGGCGUGAUGACGAGGCACUACGGUGCUGAAGCAACAAAUGCCCUGCUUCCAGGAAAAGCCUCUAAGCAUCAGGUAACAUCAAAUCGUACCCCAAACCGACACAGGUGGUCAGGUAGAGAAUACCAAGGCGCUUGAGAGAACUCGGGUGAAGGAACUAGGCAAAAUGGUGCCGUAACUUCGGGAGAAGGCACGCUGAUAUGUAGGUGAAGUCCCUUGCGGAUGGAGCUGAAAUCAGUCGAAGAUACCAGCUGGCUGCAACUGUUUAUUAAAAACACAGCACUGUGCAAACACGAAAGUGGACGUAUACGGUGUGACGCCUGCCCGGUGCCGGAAGGUUAAUUGAUGGGGUCAGCGCAAGCGAAGCUCUUGAUCGAAGCCCCGGUAAACGGCGGCCGUAACUAUAACGGUCCUAAGGUAGCGAAAUUCCUUGUCGGGUAAGUUCCGACCUGCACGAAUGGCGUAAUGAUGGCCAGGCUGUCUCCACCCGAGACUCAGUGAAAUUGAACUCGCUGUGAAGAUGCAGUGUACCCGCGGCAAGACGGAAAGACCCCGUGAACCUUUACUAUAGCUUGACACUGAACAUUGAGCCUUGAUGUGUAGGAUAGGUGGGAGGCUUAGAAGUGUGGACGCCAGUCUGCAUGGAGCCGACCUUGAAAUACCACCCUUUAAUGUUUGAUGUUCUAACGUUGACCCGUAAUCCGGGUUGCGGACAGUGUCUGGUGGGUAGUUUGACUGGGGCGGUCUCCUCCUAAAGAGUAACGGAGGAGCACGAAGGUUGGCUAAUCCUGGUCGGACAUCAGGAGGUUAGUGCAAUGGCAUAAGCCAGCUUGACUGCGAGCGUGACGGCGCGAGCAGGUGCGAAAGCAGGUCAUAGUGAUCCGGUGGUUCUGAAUGGAAGGGCCAUCGCUCAACGGAUAAAAGGUACUCCGGGGAUAACAGGCUGAUACCGCCCAAGAGUUCAUAUCGACGGCGGUGUUUGGCACCUCGAUGUCGGCUCAUCACAUCCUGGGGCUGAAGUAGGUCCCAAGGGUAUGGCUGUUCGCCAUUUAAAGUGGUACGCGAGCUGGGUUUAGAACGUCGUGAGACAGUUCGGUCCCUAUCUGCCGUGGGCGCUGGAGAACUGAGGGGGGCUGCUCCUAGUACGAGAGGACCGGAGUGGACGCAUCACUGGUGUUCGGGUUGUCAUGCCAAUGGCACUGCCCGGUAGCUAAAUGCGGAAGAGAUAAGUGCUGAAAGCAUCUAAGCACGAAACUUGCCCCGAGAUGAGUUCUCCCUGACCCUUUAAGGGUCCUGAAGGAACGUUGAAGACGACGACGUUGAUAGGCCGGGUGUGUAAGCGCAGCGAUGCGUUGAGCUAACCGGUACUAAUGAACCGUGAGGCUUAACCUU